CUGUGUCCAGCUGCCUUAUUUUUAUGCAUUGUUGUACAAACACUGAACGACGGAUUAUUUCGAUGCUGUCGACAUGGGUCGACCAAUCAUCUGGUAUGGCUGGACAAGGAAUCUUUGUAGGAAGAUCGCGUGCGCCCGUCAUACGGUUCCUUCCAGGAACCAUCUUCUGUGUGCAUCAGCGGCGCCGGCGACACUACAUCGACGCAGUAGCAGCUCUGUUCUCUCCAAGCAAGAGUUGAGCUACUUCCACAAUGCUGGACCCACCCCACUGAUUGGUAAGACCAUUGGACAGAUCAUGGACGAAACCACAGAGAAAUUCCCAGACAGAGAUGCACACGUCUUCCUCAGAGACGGAAUAAGGAGGACUUUUGCAGAAUUCAGAGAGGAGACUGACAGGGUAGCAACUGGCCUCCUAGCCCUGGGCAUCAAGAGGGGCGACCGAGUGGGUAUGUGGGGGCCUUCUACCUUAGAAUGGGUGCUGACACAGUUUGCUACGUCCCGCAUUGGUGCCAUCAUGGUCAACAUCAACCCAGUCUAUAGAGUUCAUGAGCUGGAGUACGCUCUGAGAACGUCAGAAUGCAAAGCUGUUGUAUGUGCCCGGACGUUUCGCUCAUUAGACUACUAUGCAAUGCUGCGAGAAAUCUGUCCUGAGCUUGAUACUGAUAAACCAGGACAACUCAAUUGUGCUAGGCUUCCUAAUCUAAAGACAGUUAUCUUCAGAGGUGAGGACAAUUUACCGGGGACGUUCAACUUUUCCGACCUCCUCAAGAUGGGAGGCAGCAAUGAAGAGAAACUGAGGGAUGAAUAUGAGAACAAGAUACAGUUUGAUGAGCCUGUCAGUGUACUGUUUACAUCGGGUACUACAGGUUUCCCAAAGGGUGCUACCUUAACACAUCACAACAUAGUCAACAAUGCAUUUAACGUCGGACAUAUGGUUGGUUACCAUGAAAAGCACCACCGUAUUUGUGUACCUGUUCCGUUGUACCACUGUUUUGGCAUGGUGAUGGCGUCCCUGUGUGGUAUGGUGCACGGUGCGACCUGCGUCUUCCCUUCCCCUGGGUUUGAGGCUGAAGCAGCCCUUCAAGCAGUCGCUACAGAGAGGUGUACGUCUCUCUACGGCACACCAACAAUGUUCAUUGACUACUUGCAUCACCCAAGGCUGUCUGAGUUUGACGUCUCCAGUCUCUCUACGGGCAUCAUGGGCGGUUCACCCUGUCCCAUCGAAACGAUGAAACAGUGCAUGACACGUCUCAACAUGAAGGAUGUUUCUAUUGCCUAUGGACUAACGGAGGUGUCCCCCAUCAUCACCCAGACUUGCCGGGAUGACCCGGUCGAUAAGAGAGUCUCCACUGUAGGGAAAGCAGCACCCCACACCGAGUUGAAGAUCAUUGAUAUUCAAACUGGAGAGAUUGUUCUGCGCAACACGUCUGGUGAGCUGUGCAGCCGAGGAUACACCACAAUGAUCGGCUACUGGAAUAACCAGAAGAAGACAGAUGAAGCUAUUGAUAAAGCUAGAUGGUUCCAUACAGGGGAUAUCGCGGUGAUGAAUGACGAGGGCUAUGUAUCCAUUGUGGGACGCAGUAAAGACAUGAUCAUCAGAGGCGGGGAGAACAUCUAUCCUGUAGAGAUUGAGAACUUCCUGUAUAAACAUCCCCAAAUCAACGACGUUCAGGUGUUCCAGAUGAGCGUCUUGGCGAGAUAGUGUGCGCCUGGGUCAAACUAAAAGAAGGACAAACGACAACGGAAGACGACAUCAGGGACUUCUGCAAAGGAGAGAUGGCUCACUUCAAGAUCCCAAAGAUCGUUCACUUCGUCUCCGAGUUCCCAAUUACUGUAACAGGCAAAGUGCAGAAGUUCAAGAUGCGAGAAGAAAUGGCUAGAAUUAUGGGCAUUGAGUGAUGUUCAAUAAUCUU
rnacentral:misc_RNA from 1 species